rfam:Gossypium hirsutum cultivar TM-1 chromosome 1, whole genome shotgun sequence
UGUUAAUUUUUUUUCUAUUUCUAGUAUUAAAAAUGGGUAUGACUGAUCAAAUAAUCAAAUAGCUACACGUGGCACACUAGGUGUAUCUCAUGCUAGUGUAUAGGAACCAACUUUUAAAUGUAAAAAUGAAAGAAAUUUUUAACA